GCCCCUACGGGACGCAGCAGUGGGGAAUAUUGCACAAUGGGCGCAAGCCUGAUGCAGCGACGCCGCGUGAGCGAAGAAGUAUUUCGGUAUGUAAAGCUCUAUCAGCAGGGAAGAAAAUAACGGUACCUGACUAAGAAGCCCCGGCUAACUACGUGCCAGCAGCCGCGGUAAUACGUAGGGGGCAAGCGUUAUCCGGAUUUACUGGGUGUAAAGGGAGCGUAGACGGCAGCGCAAGUCUGGAGUGAAAUGCCGGGGCCCAACCCCGGAACUGCUCUGGAAACUGUGAAGCUGGAGUGCAGGAGAGG
rnacentral:rRNA from 1 species